GACGAACGCUGGCGGCGUGCCUAAUACAUGCAAGUAGAACGCUGAAGGAGGAGCUUGCUUCUCUGGAUGAGUUGCGAACGGGUGAGUAACGCGUAGGUAACCUGCCUGGUAGCGGGGGAUAACUAUUGGAAACGAUAGCUAAUACCGCAUAAUAGUAGAUGUUGCAUGACAUUUGCUUAAAAGGUGCAAUUGCAUCACUACCAGAUGGACCUGCGUUGUAUUAGCUAGUUGGUGAGGUAACGGCUCACCAAGGCGACGAUACAUAGCCGACCUGAGAGGGUGAUCGGCCACACUGGGACUGAGACACGGCCCAGACUCCUACGGGAGGCAGCAGUAGGGAAUCUUCGGCAAUGGACGGAAGUCUGACCGAGCAACGCCGCGUGAGUGAAGAAGGUUUUCGGAUCGUAAAGCUCUGUUGUAAGAGAAGAACGAGUGUGAGAGNGGAAAGUUCACACNGNGACG
rnacentral:rRNA from 1 species